UGUGUGAAGAAGGCCUUCGGGUUGUAAAGCACUUUCGUCCGGGAAGAAGGCCUUGGGGUUAAUACCCUUGGGGAUUGACGUUACCCGCAGAAGAAGCACCGGCUAACUACGUGCCAGCAGCCGCGGUAAUACGGAGGGUGCAAGCGUUAAUCGGAAUUACUGGGCGUAAAGCGUGCGCAGGCGGUUUGUUAAGUCGGAUGUGAAAUCCCCGGGCUCAACCUGGGAACUGCAUUCGAAACUGGCAGGCUAGAGUCUUGUAGAGGGGGGUAGAAUUCCAGGUGUAGCGGUGAAAUGCGUAGAGAUGUGGAGGAAUACCGGUGGCGAAGGCGGCCCCCUGGACAAAGACUGACGCUCAUGUGCGAAAGCGUGGGGAGCAAACAGGAUUAGAUACCCUG
rnacentral:rRNA from 1 species